rnacentral:rRNA from 1 species
ACUCAAAUGAAUUGACGGGAGCCCGCACAAGUGGUGGAGCAUGUGGUUUAAUUCGACGAUAAGCGUGGAACCUUACCAUGGUUAGAAACUGAGCUGCACGACUCCUGAAAGGGAGUAAGCCUCCGAGGGUGCUCAGCAGGUGUUGCAUGGUUGUCGUCAGCUCGUGACGUGAGUUGUUUGGUUAAGUCCUCUAACGAGCGCAACCCCUGUGCUGUGUUACAUUGCUCACAGCAUACUGCCUGCGUUAAGCAGGAGGAAGGAAGGGAUGACGUCAAAUCAGCAUGGCCCUCUGAUACCAUGGGCGACACACGUGCUACAAUGGUUGGGACAAUGGGAUGCCAAACCGCAAGGUGGAGCCAAUCCCAUCAAACCCAAUCUCAGUUCGGAUUGGGGGCUGCAACUCGCCCCCAUGAAGUUGGAAUCACUAGUAACCGCGCAUCAGCCACGGCGCAGUGAAUACGUUCUCGGGCUUUGCACACACCGCCCGU